rnacentral:tRNA from 2 species
CGCGGGGUAGAGCAGCUCGGUAGCUCGUUGGGCUCAUAACCCAAAGGUCGCAGGUUCAAAUCCUGUCCCCGCUA